rnacentral:snRNA from 1 species
ACUCUUUCACACCAAAGGUCUUU